rnacentral:rRNA from 1 species
GUGAGGAAUAUUGGUCAAUGGGCGAGAGCCUGAACCAGCCAAGUCGCGUGAAGGAUGAAGGUUUUAUGAAUUGUAAACUUCUUUUGCAGGGGAAUAAAGUACGGUACGUGUACCGUUUUGUAUGUACUCUGCGAAUAAGGAUCGGCUAACUCCGUGCCAGCAGCCGCGGUAAUACGGAGGAUCCGAGCGUUAUCAGGAUUUAUUGGGGUUAAAGGGUGCGUAGGUGGUUUGAUAAGUCAGCGGUGAAAGUUUGCAGCUUAACUGUAAAAAUGCCGUUGAAACUGUCGGACUUGAGUGUAAAUGAGGUAGGCGGAAUGCGUGGUGUAGCGGUUAAAUGCAUAGAUAUCACGCAGAACUCCGAUUGCGAAGGCAGCUUACUAAGCUACAACUGACACUGAAGAACGAAAGCGUAGGGAUCAAACAGGAUUAGAAACCCGGGUAGUCC